GGUGACUGGAGGCAUUGUUCAAGAGGAGGAGUAUUUGCUUUUCUCUUGUCAAUACAUUAGAAGUUUGAGCCAAUGUUUAUUAUAAUCCUAGAUGGGGGAGAACAUGACUUAGGUUUUCAUUUCUUAGAAGUCAUAACCCAGUUUUUCAUCUUUAGAGGCCCUGUUUGAUAACGUUAUGGAGGAGCUGGUAUUGAAGAAGAAAUAAUUUCAUUUAAUUAACCACAGAAGAUAGGGAAUAAAACAUCAUAGCAUGACAUAUUAGUUGUUGUAGAUGAGACUGAGGACCUACGCUAUUCGUGUUUAUCGUCCAAAAGUAUUAAGGGCAUACAAAAUAUCAUCUAUAACAUAACUUCGGAAAUUUUCUAGCCCAAACCUUCUGGCUCCCCACCUCACUACCGAACAUACUCGCAAAUUUUCAAGCCCAAAAAGUGUUGUGGGCUUCAUGGGCUCCACGUCACUCUCGAGUAUGAAGCGUGUACGGGGUUCAACAUGGGGGAAGAAUUCGGACGAGUUAAGGAGAAUACUUGGUCAUUCUAUUGCGGUUGAUAAUAAUCACGAAACUAUGGCGGUAGAGGUCGAGUAUUGAACUUCCUGGCUCGUGCUAUCAAGGAGCAUACAUGAGAUCAUGACUAGCUCGAGACAUUGGGUGGGGAAAGAUUUGGUUUUGGAGUCCUAUUGUUCAGCGAGUUGGUGUAAUUUGGUGUAUUGUAUACAUCUUGAAUGGAUUAAAUUCUCGUAUGAUUUGGAAUGAAUGUAUCUGUUGUCUGAGUUAUUGUAUGAGUUUAGAUGGAUUGAAUAUGUAAAGAAGUUUUACAUUUGUGAUAUUUAUAAAUUUCUAAAUGAGCUUGGAUGGGACAAA